rnacentral:rRNA from 1 species
UACGUAGGGGGGCAACGUUGUCCGGAAUCAUUGGGCGUAAAGAGCGUGUAGGCGGCCAGAUAAGUCCGCUGUGAAAUCUCGAGGCUCAACUUCGAGCUGUCGGUGGAAACUGUCUGGCUAGAGUCCGGAAGAGGAGAAUGGAAUUCCUGGUGUAGCGGUGAAAUGCGCAGAUAUCAGGAAGAACACCCGUGGCGAAGGCGGCUCUCUGGGACGUGACUGACGCUGAGACGCGAAAGCGUGGGGAGCGAACAGG